rnacentral:rRNA from 1 species
GACGAACGCUGGCGGCGUGCUUAACACAUGCAAGUCGAACGGAAAGGCCCUGCUUGCCGGGUACUCGAGUGGCGAACGGGUGUGUAACACGUUGGUGUUCUGCCCUGCACUUCUGGUUAAGCCUUGGAAACUGUGUCUAAUACCUGAUAGGUGCCAUUUUUAGUGUGAUGGUUGGAAAGUUUUUUCGGUGUAGGAUGAGCUCGCGGCCUAUCAGCUUGUUUGUGGGGUAAUGGCCUACCAAGGCGGCGGCGGGUAGCCGGACUGAGAGGGUGGACGGCCAAAGUGGGAAUGAGAGACGGGCCAGAAGCGGAAGGGAGGAAGAAGGGGGGAAUAAUGAAAAAUGGGGGCAAGCCUGAUGCAGAGAAGCCGCGUGGGGGAAGACGGGCUUCGGGUUGAAAAAAACUUUCGCUAGGGAAGAAGCAUUUUGUGACGGUAACUAGAUAAGAAGCACCGGCUAACUACGUG